rnacentral:rRNA from 1 species
UUCCAGACUCCUACGGGAGGCAGCAGUGGGGAAUAUUGCACAAUGGGCGAAAGCCUGAUGCAGCAACGCCGCGUGAAGGAAGACGGUUUUCGGAUUGUAAACUUCUGUUCUUAGUGAAGAAUAAUGACGGUAACUAAGGAGCAAGCCACGGCUAACUACGUGCCAGCAGCCGCGGUCAUACGUAGGAUCCGAGCAUUAUCCGGAGUGACUGGGUGUAAAGAGUUGCGUAGGUGGCAUAGUAAGUAGCUAGUGAAAUCUGGUGGCUCAACCAUUCAGACUAUUAGCUAAACUGCUAAGCUCGAGACCGUUAGGGGUAACUGGAAUUUCUAGUGUAGGAGUGAAAUCCGUAGAUAUUAGAAGGAACACCGAUAGCGUAGGCAGGUUACUGGGACGGUUCUGACACUAAGGCACGAAAGCGUAGGGAGCAAACGGGAUUAGAUACCCUGGUAAU